rnacentral:rRNA from 1 species
GAUGAACGCUGGCGGCGUGCCUAAUACUUGCAAGUCGAGCGAACAGACGAGGUGCUUGCUCCUCUGCCGUUAGCGGCGGACGUGUGAGUAACACGUGGAUCACCUACCUAUAAUACUGGGAUAACUUCGGGAAACCGGCUCUAAUACCGGAUAAUAUAUUGAACCGCAUGGUUCAAUAUUGCAUGACGGUUUUGCUGUCCCUUAUAGAUGGAUCCGCGCCGCAUUAGCUAGUUGGUAAGGUAACGGCUUACCAAGGCAACUAUGCGUAGCCGACCUGAGAGGAUGAUCGGCAACACUGGAACUCAGACACGGUCCAGACUCCUACGGGAGGCAGCAGUAGGGAAUCUUCCGCAAUGGGCGAAAACCUGACGGAGCCACGCCGCGUGAGUUAUGAAGGUCUUCCGAUCGUAAAACUCUGUUAACAGGAAAGAACAAAUGCAUAAUUAAAUAUACACUUCUUGACGGUACCUACUCAGAAACCCACGGCUAAAUACGUG